CAGCUCCAUAUCAGCCACUCUCCCUAUCUGUCGUCUCCAUAACCGGAUCAGACCUACUGGGCCCUUCCUCUUGCCAGAGAAGAGAAAGAGAAAGCAUACAUAAUAAUGCAGAGGGAGAAUCGAGGCAGUCGCAGUGCAUCUGCCUGAGGACGGGCCUCCGCGUCUGCUACUGCACCAAACCGGCUCAGCGAGCAGAGCCCAAAUGAUGACACAACUGUGCCAGAAGCUGUUUACUAAAGAAAACAUGAAUAAUGACAAGAACCGUCGAGGAAUCGUCCAGAGUGCAUGAGGAACAAGAGCAAGCGGGACAAAUUCAGCAGGAAAAGCUAGUUGUCCCUGAGGAUUGGCCCCAUCACCCUAUUGACUACGCCAGGAUCCCACAAUCCUUUGGCUCUCCUCUGGUGGUGUCUUUCUUUAGCCCUGAUUUUGGAUGUUGGCAGGCAAGUUUCCUUUCGUUGGCAUUGUGACGCUGUAGCAGCAUGCCAGCUGUUUACACCUCUUUGUCUUUCAGUUACGCCAUGUUCCUCCUUUGCUUUCCUCCUCUAGACACUGAUGAUGAACUGCUGCAACUACUUCCACUACACUAGCGCCCUCCUCCUUCCCUCGGUCUCUCCUCUUUUUUUCUUUGACAUGAAUUCCUGUGUGUUUUAAAUAAUUUCGCUGCAUUCUCACUUGGAUCUAGCACUUCAUUUUGGCAGUAGACACUUGCAGAAAUCAUAGUUAAUGCUCUUAACAUCAGCCGAUUAUCUGACUAUUAAUUGAAUUAGUUGUCACACUAAGAGCUCAAAUGGGCCCUGAGGUUAAUUAUAUUUUGGGUGCAUUUGAAUCUACUGCCCAGGACUUAAUGUGAAAAAAUCCUCUAAAGAUUUAGAGAGAGUCAGAAAAUUAAAAUCAAUAGCGAUUCUCAGCUGUGAAACUGCCAAAAAGGCAGGAUUUGCCAUUAAUUCUGAAAAAAACAAAGUUGAUCUGCUUAGAAAUGUGAAACUUGAAAAUAAAUUGUUGGUUUUGUGACAACUCCGGAUUGUUGUUUAAAUCUGAUCAGAAUGAAUCUGUAAGUCAAUCUCUAAAGGGUUAGUUCACCCAAAAAUGAAAAUUCUGUCAUUAAUUACUCACCCUCAAGUUGUUCCACACCCGUAAGACCUUUGUUCAUCUUUGGAACACAAAUUAAGAUAUUUUGGAUGAAUUCCAAGAGGUACAGUCAAACCAAAAAUUAUUCAGACAUUUUUGAUAUUUUUUAUAUAUUUGUACUAGUGGGUGCAGGACACUGUAGUUCAUUUAUGUAAGUGAGGAUAGCAAAAUAAAGUAAACUGUGACAUAUUUUACCCAAAAAUUCUUCAUACAGCGGACUACCAGUAAAAUUGAUUGACCUGACCAUGUUUUGCUUAGAUGUUAUCUGACAUAAUUAAAAUUAUUUUUUUCUGACACAGUUUAAUUCUAAGAUCUUGUCAUAUUUUAUUACCAUUUUUUUUAAACUAUAGUGAAUAAACUGUAUUAAUGAAUGAAAUGUUCAAGGUGUCUGAAUACAUUUUGGUUUGACUGUAUAUGACUCGUACAUAGACAGCAAUUUCAGAUUUUAUCAAAAAUGUCUUAAUUUGUGUUCUGAAGAUGUACGAAGGUCUUACGGG